UACGGGGGGGGCAACCGUUGCUCGGAAUUAUUGGGCGUAAAGCGCACGUAGGCGGCUUGGCAAGUCGGAUGUGAAAUCCCUCGGCUCAACCAAGGAAGUGCAUCCGAAACUGCUGAGCUUGAGUACUUAAGAGGAUCGCGGAAUUCUUGGUGUAGCGGUGAAAUGCGUAGAUAUCAAGAGGAACACCUGAGGUGAAGACGGGUUGCUGGGCCAACACUGACGCUGAGGCGCGAAAGCCAGGGGAGCAAACGGG
rnacentral:rRNA from 1 species